rnacentral:rRNA from 1 species
UUGCUUCGGCGGGACCGCCCCGGCGCCCUCGGGCCCGGAACCAGGCGCCCGCCGGAGGCCCCAAACCCUCAUGUCUUUAGUGGUUUUCUCCUCUGAGUGA